UAGGGAAUCUUCGGCAAUGGGGGCAACCCUGACCGAGCAACGCCGCGUGAGUGAAGAAGGUUUUCGGAUCGUAAAGCUCUGUUGUAAGAGAAGAACGUGUGUGAGAGUGGAAAGUUCACACAGUGACGGUAACUUACCAGAAAGGGACGGCUAACUACGUGCCAGCAGCCGCGGUAAUACGUAGGUCCCGAGCGUUGUCCGGAUUUAUUGGGCGUAAAGCGAGCGCAGGCGGUUUAAUAAGUCUGAAGUUAAAGGCAGUGGCUUAACCAUUGUUCGCUUUGGAAACUGUUAAACUUGAGUGCAGAAGGGGAGAGUGGAAUUCCAUGUGUAGCGGUGAAAUGCGUAGAUAUAUGGAGGAACACCGGUGUCGAAAGCGGCUCUCUGGUCUGUAACUGACGCUGAGGCUCGAAAGCGUGGGGAGCAAACAGG
rnacentral:rRNA from 1 species